rnacentral:rRNA from 1 species
GACGAACGCUGGCGGCGUGCUUAACACAUGCAAGUCGAACGAAGUGGCGAACGGGUGAGUAACGCGUAAUCAACCUGCCCUUCAGCGGGGGACAACAGGUGGAAACGACUGCUAAUACCGCAUACUGAAGGAGGGGCUUGCGUCUGAUUAGCUAGUUGGAGGGGUAACGGCCCACCAAGGCAAUGAUCAGUAGCCGGUCUGAGAGGAUGAACGGCCAAAUUGGGACUGAGAAACGGCCCAGACUCCUACGGGAGGCAGCAGGGGGGAAUCUUCCGCAAUGGAAGAAAGUCUUACGAAGCAACGCCGCGUGAGGGAUGACGGCCUUCGGGUUGGAAAGCUCUGUUAAUCGGGACGCGGUACCGGAAUAGAAAGCCACGGCUAACUACGUGCCAGCAGCCGCGGUAAUUC